rnacentral:lncRNA from 1 species
AAGCUGGUCCAAAGGCCAGCUAGAUGCAAAUGACAUUUUCCCAUUUCAUUAUCUAAGCUAGCUAAUAAUUUCCUGAAAAUUUUAAAUGGGCAACAGUAGAGUCAUGACCUGUCUUAAGCUCAUGGAGGUAAGGAGCAGCCACAUUGGGACUGCGUGAAAACAAGCAGUCUUCCUGAUCUGAAUUUGUGAAAUAGAGUUCUUGACUUGGAUGAAGCACUGCAGAAGGGACUUUGAAAGCACACUGACAAAGAGAUGGAGAGCUGGAGCCUGUUCCCACAAAAUCAGCAAUAAAACUGACUUCAGUAAGCGCAGGAAAAAGCUGCUUCUGAUCAUCUGUGUACAGAUCAAGUGCAGGAAAAGGGCAUCCAAAAGACCAAGGACGUGUAAGAUUCAAAGGUCAUUAAGGGCACCCAUGUCAGAAGUUGCUUGGACUCCAAGAUCUUGCUAAAGGUGUUCCAAUAUCCAAGAAACAGCUCCCAUCCAAAGGCAGAAACACCACCAAAUUUUUGAUGUGGUUUACUACUCUUUUGUGGGAUCCUACUCCAUGACAGCCAAACAGCCAGGAGAUGAGGUGCUGUUUGCAGAUGUGGCCAGGAGAAAUAAAAGGACACAAUAGAGGCUGCA